rnacentral:rRNA from 1 species
AUACGUAGGGUGCAAGCGUUAAUCGGAAUUACUGGGCGUAAAGCGUGCGCAGGCGGUUUUGUAAGACAGUGGUGAAAUCCCCGGGCUCAACCUGGGAACUGCCAUUGUGACUGCAAGGCUGGAGUGCGGCAGAGGGGGAUGGAAUUCCGCGUGUAGCAGUGAAAUGCGUAGAUAUGCGGAGGAACACCGAUGGCGAAGGCAAUCCCCUGGGCCUGCACUGACGCUCAUGCACGAAAGCGUGGGGAGCAAACAGGAUUGGAUACCCUGGUAGUCCACGCCCUAAACGAUGUCAACUGGUUGUUGGGGAUUUAUUUUCUCAGUAACGAAGCUAACGCGUGAAGUUGACCGCCUGGGGAGUACGGCCGCAAGGUUAAAACUCAAAUGAAUUGGCGGGG